rnacentral:misc_RNA from 1 species
CAUUUAUUGAAGUUCACAACAGGUGAAUUGAUUUCCUUAUCAUUAAUGGCUUCCUUUUGGUCAUUCCUGGCAACUUUCAUGGUUUUCGUGGCCCAUUUUAUUUCACUAGCUUUUACAUCUCAAGUACAUGUACAAUUCUCUACUAUAUCAGCAGCUCCUGCACUCUUGCCUGAAGCUCCCUUAUCCUCUCCUCCAAAUUUAUCACCAGACAUUGAGCCUGUGUUUCCUACCACUGGAGCUGGGGUACCUUCUCCAGCUGAGUCAUCACUUCCCACCAUUCCUUCAAGCCGAAGCCCUCCAAAUCCAGAUCUCAUUGAUCCAGCUCCGGGGCCUGUGUUUGCUGUGUCACCAUCUGGGUCUUUACCAGCUUCUUCUGCUACUUCUCUGAGUUCAUUAGCAACUCUAAAUCUAGCUCUCUACUUUCUUGGUUUGCUGGUGUUUUGCUUGGUGCAGCUUUCUGCUUUGUGAGGUACUGUUGGUGGCAGCUCCAUUAUUGUUGCUGGUGGUUCCACUUCCUCUUUUAUUUUUUGUUGAUUUAUUUCUGUAGUGUAUAGUGUGCCAUACUGUGAUGUUUGGUAAGUAAGGAAGUGCGUGGCAUGGUUGUAACUUUGUGAUAGGACAGUGUCUACAAAAAAUAAAAGAGGAAGUGGAACCAC